ensembl:lncRNA
GUUACAACUAGAGGAGGAGGGUGGUGUUACAACUAGAGGAGGAGGGUGGUGUAACAACUAGAGGAGGAGGGGGAUGUUACAACUAUAGGGGGGUUGUGUUUUAGAGGUGUUAGAGAGUUGGCUGGAGAGAGGUGGAUGGACGGAGGGGUGGUUGGAGAUGAAGGAACGAUAGAGGGAGGGAGAAGAGAGCAAGACCGGUUGAAGGCGGAGAGGGAGAAGCCGUGGGAGAUGGAGGGCUAUGGAGUAAGCUAGAGGCAGAGGGUCGCUCAUUGUUUGCUUUUGAAACAGUCCUGUUGUAAUAACUCAUAGUGAUUUACAGUUCACCCACUGGUAUAGGUCUGCCAUUCACACCCUGAAGAAAGGACGUGGUGGGUGGUGUUUUGAUGUAUAUUAUUGUGUGAUCUUCUACACACUUUAACAAUAACCUCUGUGUGCAAACAAGUGAUGAGAGGAGGGUGACAGGCAGAGGAGAAAGAGGAGAGCAGAGGGCUGAAAUAUAACCGACACAGACACAAAGUUUGAAACAUUAUUUGUCAAAAGCAUCAUCAGAAAGGCACUCGAUAUAAACAGUGUAUCUAUACUAUCCAGCUAUUUUGAAUGUCAUUUCCAUCUAACAGUUAUAUGUGGAUUGCAAUCUAAACAAACUGUAUUGUUACGUAAGUCAGGUCUGCAAGUGUCUGUACAUGGAGCUCUAUUUUGAUACACGGGCUACGUCUGUGCAGUGGGGAAAUAUGUUUAAUGCUCUAUUUUGUGUAUCCAGCCAGUUUCUAUGGUUAGUUGUCUCGUGGUGUGGGGAAGUGUUGCAUUCAGAUAUUUGUAAGACUCUGCUUUGGUUUCUCAUGACACAGUAUCUAUACCAGGUUCUGUUUUAUAGAUUUCUUCUAUAUGAGUUGCAAUUUAAAAUCAGUUACUAAAUAUGUUUGUGUUGUGUGUUGAUAACUGAUGAAGAAACGUGUGGUCAGAUUCUCCCUUCACAGUUUUUUUUUAAUCUAGACUUGUAGUUUUCAAGAUGUAUCUCUUGUAAAGAUUUUUUUCACACAAAUACUUUAAUAUGUAUUGCCAUGUUUAUUUAGUAAUCAACGUGUGAUUUUCCCUCUUUUUUGACAUAGUAUAGUUGCCACUUGUCACAUUUCUGAAC